UACGAAGGGGGCUAGCGUUGCUCGGAAUCAUUGGGCGUAAAGAGCGCGUAGGCGGCCCGGUAAGUCCGCUGUGAAAGUCGGGGGCUCAACCCUCGAAUGCCGGUGGAUACUGUCGGGCUAGAGUGCGGAAGAGGCGAGUGGAAUUCCUGGUGUAGCGGUGAAAUGCGCAGAUAUCAGGAGGAACACCGAUUGCGAAGGCAGCUCGCUGGGACGUCACUGACGCUGAGACGCGAAAGCGUGGGGAGCAAACAGG
rnacentral:rRNA from 1 species